GAUGAACGCUAGCGAUAGGCCUAACACAUGCAAGUCGAGGGGCAUCACAUGAAGUAGCAAUACGGAUGGUGGCGACCGGCGCACGGGUGAGUAACACGUAUGCAACCUGCCUUCAACAAGGGGAUAACCCGUUGAAAGACGGACUAAUACCCUAUAACACAGGGGUCCCGCAUGGGAAUAUUUGUUAAAGGACAACCGGUUGAAGAUGGGCAUGCGUUCCAUUAGCUAGUUGGCGGGGUAACGGCCCACCAAGGCAACGAUGGAUAGGGGAACUGAGAGGUUUAUCCCCCACACUGGUACUGAGACACGGACCAGACUCCUACGGGAGGCAGCAGUGAGGAAUAUUGGUCAAUGGACGCAAGUCUGAACCAGCCACGUCGCGUGAAGGAAGACGGCCCCUACGGGUUGUAAACUUCUUUUAUACGGGAAUAAAGUGCCCCACGCGUGGGGUUUUGCAUGUACCGUAUGAAUAA
rnacentral:rRNA from 1 species